CCCACGUGUUCCAUCCAGAGCCCUUUAUUGCAAACCCCGCCCCCCUCCCUCCAUCCCGGCUUCUGAUUGGCCGAGGGGAGGGGGUGGCUCAGCUCCCAUUGGUCAGUGAUGGGGGGUGGGUGGGGUCAGGGCUCUCCGUGGGGCAGCCCCGGCUCAAGUCCGUCUGUGGGGCUGGAUGUGGGUCCGUCCGUGGGUCCGUCCGUGGGUCGGUCUAUGGGUCACGGGGGCGAGUGGGGGCCCUCCCCCCCCCCCCUCACUCCUCGCCGUGGGUCGGUCCGUGGGUCCAUCCGUGGGUCCAUGGGUCAAUCUAUGGGUCAAGCCCAUGGGUCCAUCCAUGAGUCCAUCCAUGGGUCAGUCCAGUCUAUGGGUCCAUGGCUCCAUCAACGUUCUGGUCCAUGUGUCCAUCCGUGGGUCCAUCCGUGGGUCGUUGGGGGGCGAUAUGUGGGUCAAUCUAUGGGUCAGUCUAUGGGUCCAUGGGUCCAUCCAUGGGUCAAUCCAGUCUAUGGGUCCAUGGCUCCAUCAACGUUCUGGUCCAUGUGUCCAUCCGUGGGUCCAUCCGUGGGUCGUUGGGGGGCGAUAUGUGGGUCAAUCUAUGGGUCAGUCUAUGGGUCCAUGGGUCCAUCCAUGGGUCAAUCCAGUCUAUGGGUCCAUGGCUCCAUCAACGUUCUGGUCCAUGUGUCCAUCCGUGGGUCCAUCCGUGGGUCGUUGGGGGGCGAUAUGUGGGUCAAUCUAUGGGUCAGUCUACGGGUCCAUCCAUGGGUCAGCCCAGUCUAUGGGUCCAUGGGUCCAUCAAUGGUUUGGUCCAUGGAUCCAUCUAUGGGUCAAUCUAUGGGUCAAUCUAUGGGUCAGUCUGUGGGUCCAUCCAUGGGUCAAUCUAUGGGUCAAGCCCAUGAGUCCAUCCAUGGUUCAAUCUAUGGGUCAAUCUAUGGGUCCAUGUGUCCAUCCGUGGGUCGCUCCGUGGGUCGGGGUUGGUUGUGGGUUGGUUGUGGGGUGGAGGGGUGACAUGUGGGGCGAUGUGUGGGGCGACGUGUGGGGCGCCGUGUGGGUCCAGCCCCCCACGUCUCACUCCUCGCCGUGGGGCCAGCGCAGGCACCACUCGCAGGCGUUUUGGAACAUGCGCAACCAGGGGGCCGGGGUUGGGGACCCCCGCGCCGUGGGGCAGGAGGACCCCGACCCCCCACCCCCACCCCGCGCCGUGGGGCGGCCCCACGCCGGGGGCCACCAGCCCCACUGCCAUGGGGUGACCCCCCGCUCGGGGUGGGGCAUGAGGGCCAGGUGGCGGCCGCAGGGGGAGCAGAGGGCGGCGGCGCCCCCCCCCGAGCCGUUGGGGUUCAG
rnacentral:lncRNA from 1 species